CCCUCGGACCGCUUACCCACUGAAGAAGAGCGAAGGGGGGUCUAGUUCGGAGCGGGACCUCGUGCAGGGUCCUGUUUGUUGACGUGCAGGCGGUCUUCAAUGGAGUCCACGCGCAGAGCUCGGGUCCCGUCUCCGUGGUUACAUACAUCAGCAGGGUCUCCGGCUCGUGCGUCUCAGGGGGGGGGCAGAGAGGAGCACAUGGGCGGGGGAGAGACCUGGACCCCGACACGAACGGGAGGCGGAGGAAGCCUCCAGGCCUGGCGCCGUUCUAGCAGGACGGGCCAGAGGCCGGCGCUGUCUCUUCGUUCGGGAUUACCGGCGUCUCUGGGGGGCCAAGUCUAUACGGAUCAAAGGCAAACAUCCAGCCAGCGGCAGAGACCAGGGACCAGGGUUAGUGAGGAGGGGGUAGGACGGCCCUCGGGGUCUUGGGCCGGUCAAGGACAUAUGUUGGUCAUUAACUUGUCAUGGUAUUUAGCAGAGACUUUCAUCCCUAUUGAGAUAUAGCUUGAGGCCCUUUGGGAGCAUAAAGAGGUUAGUUUAAAAGCUCAUGCUAACAUACAGCUUGAAUAUGGACAUUGGAGUUGAAGUGUGUAGUCUGGUGGUGAGUAUGUGGUGAUCUGUAGGGAUAAGCAUUGUGUGGUUCUCCUUAGAAGGGACAGGGACAAGCAGGUACACUAGAUAUUACAUCUGUUGGGAUCUCGGCUGAGCAGCAGUAAGAGUCUGGGAGGAUUACGUUGCUUCAUUCUUCUCACGUCACUGAUCCUGUCAGGAACCGAGUAUUACGUGAUAAGAAGAUAUUAAAUAGCAUGCAGACAUAAUUUGUUUUCUCCCAUGACCACUUUCCCCCAAUUUUAUAUUGCAAAUACGUAACAUGCCACAAAAGACUGAAGAAAAGGUAUUCAUGUUUAUAUUAGCUUUAUUAAAUAAUGUGACAGCCUCCAUAAUCCAAUGUUGUUUUACAAAUGAACCAUAACGCUGUGAUUUGCUACAUGGAUUGAACUGGGUUGCGUCAUAUAGAGAAGUGGUGAUAUAAUUGAGAACCUAUUUUUAUCCAUCUUUAAAAUAGUUUCACAAGCCAAGAUGUUAUCAGUGAUUUACAUUGCAUGUUUUUGUCCACUUGUUUGGGGUUUUGGCUUUGAGACCCAUGCCUCACAGGUACAAAGCCUGUGUGAUAUAUUUAUGUUGGACACAUUAUUCUGUUGGCUAAUACCUUUAACUUAAUGACACAUUAUAUUGUAAAACCAAUUCUUCCUACAGCCACACAACAUGUACAAAAGAGUUUUUCCCACAGCAAAAUAUAGCAAAGCUGAAUGUCUCUUCA